rnacentral:lncRNA from 1 species
CUUUAACUGUCCAUCCCCCACUCACCUUCCUCACAACCUGCUUGGUUUUUAUCACCCUGAGACAUUCCGCACUGACAUAACAAUUGUUUCACUCACCUUCUCACGAAUGAAGAAGGACAUGUUGGGAGAAAAACACGAGAGAAGGAAAGACACACAAACCGAGGCAGGGAGGAAGCUGUAUAGCCUACGACCUGGAGAGAAAGAGAUCGCGCUACCGGAGAGGAGACGGAUCUCUGAACCUUCUAUACAUUUUCUCUCUCCCCACCCCACUCUUCGGGUCUGGAUCGAUAUUCCCGUCGGGGGAUCGGUUGGAGUUGAAGGCACUCAAAACCGAGACUUGUCGACCUUUCCUGGAAAUAAGAACGUGCGCGGGGCGCGAGGAGGAACCGGCUGUGAACCAGUGUACCCUUGUCUACCCUCUCUCAGCCCGCGCUCGACCCGAUAAAUCCACUUGUUACAGCGCGCUUUAAAGAACCCACUUGGACCAGCCAGACGAGAUAAAUUGCGUGCUUAUAAGGAUGGUCUUAUGAAACUUUACCAACUAGGCUAUUCCAAGUAGAACCAUUUAGCGACAUUACGUGAACUUACAGUCCAGAUAGGCUAGGUGUUUACGGUAAGAAAUCUCAACGAAGAAAUCCGAGUAUUAAAAUCGCUAGUUCCGUCCUCAUGAUCUCAACACUAUACCGCCGGAGAAGCUCCUGGCGGUUUACGUCACUGGUAACGAGUCUAGACAACCUAUGGUGAUUUUUAGUGACUUCGACAUACAAGGAUAUACGAAUUCGGUUCUGCGGCUAAAUUAGUGACUCACGGACAUAUGGUCUGUAGGCGCAGGGGAUUUAGUGCCAGAACAACACCGCCUCUCCAGAGCGCGUUCUCCCCGGGAGAGAUUGGAUAGAGCGGUCAGAGUCUGAGGAAUGCGGGCACUGUUUCCCUGGAUCACCACCUCACCUGCGGAGACUCUCCGCUGCACACACCAAAUUGAACGUUGACCGGGUGACGCAAGCAGUCAUGUUGAGGCAAAUCCUGCUGAAUUCCACCAACGCACCGGACUUCGACUUAGGGCUGGCCCAUCAGACGCACGCGUCUGGGUCCGUGAACGCAUCUAACGGCUCGGUGAGCAUGGCGGGCCUGCUCAGGCCCACGGAUAACAGGGGUGGACUGCGGGAGGGCGGAGAGAUGAACAAACCAGACCUGGCAACCUACGUGGUGAUCUGUCUGGUUCUGUUUCUGCUCGUGCUGCUCAUCGUCUUCUUCAUCAACUGUCAGCUGAGAACCUCCUUUUUCGCCUCCAUGCCCUACGAUAGGUCUCUCAGAGAGGCCCGGACAUCCUACAAGUAGAACCCGUUACCCCAUCGGGUGGUAACAUUUGUACCAGGACUGGGUAACUUGUGUUAUCGAAUGUAGUCAUGGAGGAAUUUACGAUUUUUGCCAACUGCAUGGUCCAAACGCUGUGCGUAACCGUUAAGUGUUAAUUUGGCACAAUGAGAUAGAGGCCUAUUACGCACCAUGUUCCAAACUGGACUAAUGUGAUUAUGUGCAUAUAAAUGUUUAUGUUUGUUUGUAUAUACAACAUUUUGUAUAACUGCACUGUAAUGAAUUUGCGCUCUUAUGUAGGCCUGAUGUGUAAUUCUGCCGCUUAAAGUUUCAUUCCUUGUCCUGUGUAAAACCAUGAUUAAAUAUAUAUGAUAAAUAUAUGAACAACAUAUGGUGAUGAUGAUAAUGUGAUGGGAUGAAACGGAUUGAUAGUUGAAUGUCCCAGAGACAAAGCGAGGUUUCAUGACUGCAAUCCUUGCUGAUCACGUGCUUUCUUUUAUUUUUUUGUAAUUAAGCCUUCACUCACAAUAUACGAGCGUAAUUUCUCGCGGAAUGAAUGGCUUAACGCUGAUAUAAAUCGCCCAAGCCAAAUUGGUUAUCUUUUGGUUUUACACCGAGGUAAAAUGUGUUUUAUAUUAGAUAUUUGGUUUUCAAAGCAUGCCAUGACUGACAAUUGUAUAUUUUGAAUCAGGGGAGACCUUUUUGGUCUGUAAUUUGUG